AUCCCAUGAUGAUGGCACCUACAAGGUAAUUCUUUGAAUCUCUCCCAUGCCUCGUACAAAGCUUCAUCAUCCAAUUGUUGAAAAGUGGUUAUCUCAUUUCACAACUU
rfam:Gossypium hirsutum cultivar TM-1 chromosome 12, whole genome shotgun sequence